UGGGCCGUUUCAGGAAAACCGAGAGUCUAUCAUCAAAAUCUUGAAAAACACAAAUGCGUCAUCUUCGGGUGACGGAG
rnacentral:tRNA from 1 species